GAUGAACGCUGGCGGCAUGCCUAAUACAUGCAAGUCGAACGAGAGGAAGGAAAGCUUGCUUUUCUGAAUCUAGUGGCGAACGGGUGAGUAACACGUAGGUAACCUGCCCAUGUGCCCGGGAUAACUUCUGGAAACGGAUGCUAAAACCGGAUAGGUAGCAGACAAGCAUUUGACUGCUAUUAAAGUGGCUAAGGCCAUGAACAUGGAUGGACCUGCGGUGCAUUAGCUAGUUGGUGAGGUAACGGCCCACCAAGGCGACGAUGCAUAGCCGGCCUGAGAGGGCGGACGGACACAUUGGGACUGAGACACGGCCCAAACUCCUACGGGAGGCAGCAGUAGGGAAUUUUCGUCAAUGGGGGGAACCCUGAACGAGCAAUGCCGCGUGAGUGAGGAAGGUCUUCGGAUCGUAAAGCUCUGUUGUAAGAGAAAAACGACAUUCAUAGGGAAUGAUGAGUGAGUGAUGGUAUCUUACCAGAAAGUCACGGCUAACUACGUGCCAGCAGCCCGCAGUAA
rnacentral:rRNA from 1 species